AACGAACGCUGGCGGCAGGCUUAACACAUGCAAGUCGAGCGCCCCGCAAGGGGAGCGGCAGACGGGUGAGUAACGCGUGGGAAUCUACCCAUCUCUACGGAAUAACGCAUGGAAACGUGUGCUAAUACCGUAUACGUCCUUCGGGAGAAAGGUUUAUCGGAGAUGGAUGAGCCCGCGUUGGAUUAGCUAGUUGGUGGGGUAAAGGCCUACCAAGGCGACGAUCCAUAGCUAGUCUGUGAGGAUGAUCAGCCACACUGGGACUGAGACACGGCCCAGACUCCUACGGGAGGCAGCAGUGGGGAAUAUUGGACAAUGGGCGCAAGCCUGAUCCAGCCAUGCCGCGUGAGUGAUGAAGGCCCUAGGGUUGUAAAGCUCUUUCACCGGUGAAGAUAAUGACGGUAACCGGAGAAGAAGCCCCGGCUAACUUCGUGCCAGCAGCCGCAGUAACAC
rnacentral:rRNA from 1 species